CCUACGGGAGGCUGCAGUGGGGAAUAUUGCACAAUGGGGGGAACCCUGAUGCAGCGACGCCGCGUGAGUGAAGAAGUAUUUCGGUAUGUAAAGCCCUAUCAGCAGGGAAGAAGAUGACGGUACCUGACUAAGAAGCCCCGGCUAACUACGUGCCAGCAGCCGCGGUAAUACGUAGGGGGCAAGCGUUAUCCGGAUUUACUGGGGGUAAAGGGAGCGUAGACGGCAGGGCAAGUCUGGAGUGAAAGCCCGGGGGCCAACCCCGGGACUGCUUUGGAAACUGCCAGGCUAGAGUGCUGGAGAGGUAAGCGGAAUGCCUAGUGUAGCGGUGAAAUGCGUAGAUAUUAGGAGGAACACCAGUGGCGAAGGCGGCGUACUGGAGAGUAACUGACGUUGAGGCUCGAAGGCGUGGGGAGCGAACAGGAUUAGAUACCCUGGUAGUC
rnacentral:rRNA from 1 species